AAGUCCUGGGCUGUUUCGGAGCCUGGAGCAGGGGGGCAGGAAGGGCUCAGGGAGAAAGUGUGUGCAGCCCCUGGCCCUCUCUGCCCUUCCGUCCCCCGUUCCCAGACACGCUGUGCCCAGUC
rnacentral:pre_miRNA from 12 species